UACAGAGGUCUCAAGCGUUGUUCGGAUUCAUUGGGCGUAAAGGGUGCGUAGGUGGCGGGGUAAGUCAGGUGUGAAAUCUCGAGGCUCAACCUCGAAACUGCACUUGAUACUGCCUUGCUCGAGUACUGGAGAGGAGAUUGGAAUUUACGGUGUAGCAGUGAAAUGCGUAGAUAUCGUAAGGAAGACCAGUGGCGAAGGCGGCUUUCUGGUCUGUUCUUGGCGCUGAGGCGCGAAAGCUAGGGUAGCAAACGGG
rnacentral:rRNA from 1 species